GAGUUUGAUCAUGGCUCAGGAUGAACGCUGGCGGUAUGCCUUACACAUGCAAGUCGUACGGAAGUUUUUAACUUCAGUGGCGGACGGGUGAGUAACACGUAAGAAUUUACCUUUAGGAAGAGGAUAACAGCCGGAAACAGCUGCUAAUACUCUAUAUGCUACAAGUGAAAUGGGGCAACCCGCCUAAAGAGAAGCUUGCGGCUGAUUAGCUUGUUGGUAAGGUAAAAGCUUACCAAGGCGACGAUCAGUAUCUGGUUUGAGAGGAUGAUCAGACACACUGGAACUGAGACACGGUCCAGACUCUUACGGGAGGCAGCAGUGGGGAAUUUUCCGCAAUGGGCGAAAGCCUGACGGAGCAAUACCGCGUGAGGGAUGACUGCCUAUGGGUUGUAAACCUCUUUUUUCAGGGAGGAAGUAAG
rnacentral:rRNA from 1 species